AGCUAUAUUACAGGUUCGAUUCUGAGGGCUUAUUGUGCGUGGAUUUCACGCUUGAUGCCUUAGUCCUAAGCUAGUCGAGUUUAUCUCACUCGCUCAUGCUGGGCUUAAUCUAAAACCUAAGAGACCUAAUGCACUUGCAAUAGUAAAAUGUGCAAAUCCUAUUGAGCUACCCCAUUACAAGGCACCAUUCUGCCACAAAAGCAACUUGU
rnacentral:lncRNA from 1 species